UUUCCCCUUUCGCUCCUAAAUCCCCAAAUCCCUCAACCCCCACCCAAUUUCUACAUCCGCCGCCGCCAUGCUCGAGCUCUCUGUCCGCCGCCGACGCUACUCUCUGCGGCCAGCUGCGUGCUCUCCAGCCGGCGAGGACGCACCCCCCUCCGCAUCUCCCUCAUUUACUUCAGCCUGCGCACCACCGAGGCCACUCCACACCGCCGCAGCUACGCUCGAGCUCUCUCUCCGCUGCGCUCGCUCGGCCUCCACCUGCAGAGGCUCUCACCACCGCCACGGGCUCGAGCAGCCUCCGCCGUGAGGUUCUCUCCGUGUUGCUACGCGCUCGAGCACCCUCCGCCGCCAGGUGCUCUCUCCUAUCCUGCUUAUCCCCCUCCCCCGUCGCUCACCACACCACCCUAUACGCACAGGUGGUCCUGUCAUCGCCGUCCACACCCUGCCAACGGCUGCCCUUUUCUUCUGCGCCCAAGCUCAGCCAUCGCCCCUAUGUCACGCCGGCCAAGAAGGUAUGCUCCGAGAUGCCUCUUGCCAGAUCUGGGUUAUAGUCCCUCUAAAGGCAUGGCUUUGGCUACCUCUGCUAUUAGGCCUAUAUUAUGUGUGGAUUUGGAAGCUAUUUCUACAUCUACUAUGUGAUUUUUGAAGAAAACUGUGGCCCCAUGCCUUGCUAUCAUGAUGCUUGAUUGUAUGCCACGCCCCAUCGACAUGCGAUGCAUAUCUGCUGGGAUUUUGAAUUGAAUAGGUGUGAAAUAUCUGGUAGCUAUAUGGAUCCAUUGGCUCUAAAAACUGUCGCCCCAAUGUCUACAAUUUGGGGUCAUGUAGGUGAGGCGUCACUCCUUCAUCAGGUUAUAUGUCAACCUGAAAAUCAUCUAGGCUACAGGAUAGUUCCCCAAGAGCCCUAAUUGCAAGUGCAUACUGUAACUAUAUAAGCAAGGCAUGAUUAGAAAAUUAUUUGCAAAAGUGAGGCUGCACAUGCUUGCAAUUACUUAUUUCGAGCUCGAGCUUUUAGUUUAUAAUGAUGUGACCACAUGCUUGUGUUUCUUUUCAUGUUUAUUAAUCUGACGGAACUAUAUGAUGCUAAUGAUGGGUGCAGUACUUUAACCUGAAGAGCAUCUUAUUUAUGCCCUGCUUCCCGGAUAUUUUGAAUAUCAGAAUGUUAUGAACAAAUGAAAUCAAACUAUUUGUUGUAAGUUGUAACAUUGGUGGUUUCAUGUCUCCGUUGUUCGCACGGGGCGACCUCAUAGUUUUCUGAGCAAGAAACAUGAUCCGGACAAGAAAAAGUCAAUUUCAUCCAUUGGGACUAAAGUUGGCAAAAGUAACUAGAAGUGAUCAUUUUUUCUGGGUACUAGCUCAUUUGUAGUAGAACACGAUCUAUAUUGUUGGUUUUUGAUGUUUGUUGGCAGUCAUACAAAUGUCACUACAUAAUUAGGUCAAAUUAUAGAAACCUGAAAUUAUUGUGCACAUAGACCUAAUAUUGACCUGAUGUUGCGGUAACAGCAAGCAAACAAACUGUUGGAUUUACGUCUUGUUGUAGAGGAAUCUAUUAUUGCUCUGUUUUACACACCGGUCAAAAUUUAACCACCAGUAUGUUCAAUCCAUAUAUUGAGCUAGGUGUUCACCCUUCGCCGACAUAUUCAUAGAUUUUUUAUGUACUUUGUUUAUUGCAAACAUUUAUAUAAACAUAUAAUAUAUUUUAUAUUUAUAUUAAGGACCCCUAGGUUCUAGUUAUUGUACACCUUCUGUUCAAUAUUUUACAGAGUAAUAAAGCAUGGAUGACAAAUUUUGUUUAUCUAGGUUGUCAUAAUUAAUUUGCUUAGUGGAUUUUCAUAAGUAAUUCACAUGCUAUAACUUGGAGGACAGAACUUAGCCAUGCACUAUGCAUGUUAACUAUGAUGGUACUUUGGGAAAAUGGCAUGAUUAGACUGACUUUAUAUGUAAUUGGUGUUAGAAAUGUACUUCCUCCGUCCGGAAGUACUUGUAAGAAAAAUGGAUGUAUCUAGAACUAAAGUACGUCUAGAUACAUCCAUUUCUCUGACAAGUAUUUCCGGAUGGAGGGAGUAUUUUGUGCUGAGGCUGGCGCCAGCAUUGGUGCUUCCCAGGAUGAUGACGAUGACGUUGUAGAGCUCGUCCCUGGAAAGACUUUCAAGAAGCUGGGGAGGAGAAGAUAGAACCUGAAGUGAAGGAACCAGAGAUGCAGAAUAAGAAAGAUUGUCGUAAUUCAUUGUUGUGAAGGGUUGCUUGUUAGUUUAGGUUUGGCUGGCAUCUACCGUGCCAUAGACAUCCUCUUGUGAGAACUCUGGCCUACCUUUCAUUUCUAGCCCUCUUGUUGAAGCAGUAAAGUUCUUUUAUGUUGACUUGCAUCAUUAUUGGUUUGAGUUUCUAAAAAGUAUUUUCAUGAAUCAGUUUCAAAAUUCUGUUGAACCAUCUAAGCUAUGAACUAUAUACAUUAUCUGAGACAAUCUUUAGAUGAAGAGAAUAACCAAAAUAUUGUGUAUACCAUCACCAAGUAAGAAGAGAAGAUAUACCAGCAUUGAUUGUUACUAGUCAAUGUACAGAGCUAUAUAGCGAUAUACUUCUUUUGGUUGUUUCUUAUUAAAAUUUAGUUGUUUGACAUUCAUCUCCCCCCAACUAACUUUCAGUGACCAGGUGCCUAUCAUCCAUGGCGGCAACGACAUCGUGAAUGAUUUGGAAAAAUGUAGUAGCAUGGUGGACAAAUGUCAAAAACAGAUCUUGGCUUCAAAGUUACAUUCAAAUAUGUCACUUUCUUUGCAUUCAAGAGGAUUUGGAGCCUCGGUUUGUUGGUGAAGUAACGCUUGAAGGAGAUAUUAAAUUGUUGUUUGUGAUAGCAAGUGACUUGCCUACAACAGAGGACUUUGAGCAUGUCACUGAUUUGGAAAUAUUGAAGGCUCCACCUAUCCCCAUGGGAAUGGCCUCAAGAGCGUUAUCCCCCAUGUCCUGAAGAGAAUUAUCCUUUCAUUUAGCAAAUGCUUUCUCUGCUAGAUUUGUUACUCCUUUCAAGUAUCCUAGGCUAUAGCAAAAGAAGUUACAGGAAACACAAAAGAGGGGAGCUAAAGAUUUUCAGACUGGAGGAUGUUCUCCAAUGAGAUUUAGAAGGAAGGCUUUGAUGUCAAGUACUAGAAGGACACAAGGAUCUUGGUUGAAGGCUGUGAGGAUGUGUAUUUAGUUGCCCACUACAAGGAGCCAAGGCAGAUGAUGUGCCUCUUAAGACAAAUUCUAGAAAAUAAUGUGAGGAAUUUUUGCUCUUAGGCAAUGAACAAUAAUGUUUCCUCUACUUAAUUAGUUUCAUUAGUUUAUAGGAAACUUGGAUGGACAUUAGUUACUAACAGAUGAUGUAUUUAUAUGUGAAAAUUAAUGAAAUGUAUGUUGUUAUUGUUUGCA